GGUCCCGUAGCUCAGUCCGGUAGAGUACCACGCUCUUAACGUGGGUGUCGCGGGUUCAAAUCCCGUCGGGACCA
rnacentral:tRNA from 1 species